UCUUAUGGAUGAGCAAAGAGUGGUUUCUUUAGAUGGAAUCUACUCCUCGUGAAGAUGCUGUGAA
rnacentral:pre_miRNA from 1 species